CAUUCAAAGAGGGUCCGCUCUAACCUGAUCAGUUUCACUAAAAUUCACAUAUUAGCUAGUUUGCUAGCCUACAUCUGCUGCUGUGGAAUCUCUGAGAAAGACUUUGUUUGUUACAAUGGCUUACAAAAAUGGAUUUUUAAAUCGUAUGUGUGUACAAUUCAGAAUACUUUAAGGCGCAGAUCUUGACCAGCUACUUAGAGCUCCACUGAUUAACAGCUUGGAUCAGCGGUCUGCUAACAACAGUAGUAGUUCCUUGAAUGCCGGAUUGGUUUCUUAGCCUGGGCCUGAUAUUCAGAACAUAAUUGUUGGGCCCUCAGAGCCAUCUGCAUCGACCAGCUCAGCAUCUUCAGCUUUUGAUGUAGCCGGAUUGGUUUCUCAGCCAGGGUUUGAUAUCCAGAAUAGAGAUGCAGGACACUCAGAGCCAUCUGCAUCGACCGGUUCAGAUCAGUUCACAUAACUCUCUUUGUUAAAAGUCAACAGGGGAGUUAAACGACCCCGGCCUGACAAAUUAGCAACAAGGGCUACUACCUCAAGGCUUAGUACUAAGAGACAUCUAGCGGUGACCCUGACACGUUGUAGCCCGAUGACAACCCACGAAUCAGUUGAACUCCACAGUUCAGAUGUGCUGAGCUCUCAGGAUAAUGUUUCUAACUGGGAUGAUGCUUUGAUCAAAGGCUGGGAUGCCAAUGAAGAUGCUGUGGUGCCGAAUGCCUCGGAGUCCAUAAGUUCAGCGGUAGCAGAUAGACCUUCAGACGUUACAAAUGCUGAUAAUUUUGUGCUGGAUAUAGAUGAUCAAGACUUGAUAUUAGCUGCAGACAGCGUUGCCCCCACAACUGUUACCAAUAAUACAGAGCUGACCGAGGUGGUUGAAAAUCAUCAGACUGAUGAACUUAACGCUGUUGAGACUCCUGCCGAACAUUCUGCAUCAACUAAUGAUCAAGCUCUACCAUCAAAUCAACAAUGCUUCAUUCAUGAGCUAUUGCUGGGGGGCCGUGAACAUAAUCGACGUGUGGAGGAAAAACUGUUGAGUCUUCGGAGAUGUUCAGCUUGUUCAUUCAGUCAUAUUGAUACGUUAUUGACAAACUCUGUUGAACAAGGACAGAUAUGCAGACUGGUUCAUGAACGUAAAGACUUUAUUGCCGAACAAGUGAAGAAGAUCGACAGCGGGCGUUGGGAGGAAUUCAGAGAACGUCAACUCACGCACCAGAGAGACUGAAACCUCGCGAUUCCCUUUUUGGUGGAAGGACCAAUGCGUACAAGUUGUACCACAAAACUGUUGAUGGUGAGAAUCCUAUCCAGAAAUUAUUUUCAGCGAUUUUGAAAAUCUUGAAAAUUAUUAUGGUCUUGUCAAGGUAAAGAUGCUGCAUCCUCGAAAAUUACUAUAUCCGCUGCUUCCCAUAAGAUCCAAUG